CCUACGGGGUGCAGCAGUAGGGAAUUUUCGGCAAUGGGCGCAAGCCUGAACGAGCAAUGCCGCGUGAACGAGGAAGGUCUUCGGAUCGUAAAGUUCUGUUGAAGGGGAAAAAGAGCUGAGAGAGUAAAUGCUUUCUGAUUGAUAUUACCCUUCGAGGAAGUCACGGCUAACUACGUGCCAGCAGCCGCGGUAAUACGUAGGUGGCGAGCGUUAUCCGGAUUUAUUGGGCGUAAAGGGUGCGUAGGCGGCCUCGUAAGUCUGAGGUGAAAGCUCCCGGCUCAACCGGGGAGGGGCAUUGGACAAUGGGGAGCUUGAGUGCAGAAGAGGAGAGUGGAAUUCCAUGUGUAGCGGUGAAAUGCGUAGAUAUAUGGAGGAACACCAGUGGCGAAGGCGACUCUCUGGUCUGUAACUGAUGCUGAGGCUCGAAAGCGUGGGUAGCAAACAGGAUUAGAUACCCGAGUAGUC
rnacentral:rRNA from 1 species